rnacentral:lncRNA from 1 species
GACGAGGAGAACGAGCGCGUUCCUUCCAGCCUCCUCCUCCGCCCCACCUUCCGCCCCCAAUGUGCUCCCGCCGCCCCUUCCUUGGCCGAGCAGCUCUGUUUCUGGCAUUUUUCAGCCUUGCCCGAGGUGGAAGCCGCUGAAAUGGCAGGGACCGCCGCCGCCUCAUCCCCUGGGGCCUGGGCCUUGCCCUGUGCCCGCAAGAGAGUAAGCUCCUGGUCUCCUUGUUAGGUUUUCAAUUCUUGUUGGCUGGCUGCACUUCUUUUUUUUGACAGCUUGGCUGCACAUAUUUGGGAUGACAUUGUAUAGAGGUACAUGAAAAAUAUUGCACUAGUUAAUAUGCCACAUUGUGUGCUUGUUAGACUGAACUAUACCAAUUAUUUAACUCGCCAUGUAGUAUAUUGUCCCUUUUCUUGGUUUGUCAACCCCAAGGUCGGUUUGAGAGAGAGAGAAAUGAUGUGUAGAAAUAUCGCUAAAUUCCCAUCACAUCUUUCCCUGGGUAAGUUGGGAAUUGCACUAUUUGCCGAUGUGGGUCACAAUGUUGCUACCAGCUUCGGUAUUAGAGACUAAUAGCAAGCAACUCAUUUUACUGAUGAAAUUGAAAAUAUUUUCUCUGUUUUGAGAGGAGAUUAAAUUAAAAAUGUUAACUGUUUAUUUAGAAAGCGAAUUGAAAGUUGUCUCCAAGAGGCUAUCCUGUUUUCAUGGUAUCUGCGCUUGAGAAUUUAUAAAAGCUGCAUCAACGUGCUUUUUUAUUUCUGGAUUUCUAUAUGAAUCAAAGACCUCCUUCUUUUGUUUUCAUCCCAGCUCUUUCAGCCAUUCAAGCAUGAGUUUCUCUUGUCAAUUUCUCUCAUUCUCUGUGCUGAUAUGAAAAGUCUUGUAUUGUCCAUUUUCCGAUAGUUCACAGAGUGUGAGAAUCAUUCCAGUAGAUGCUAUAGGGAAGUCGUUCAACAGGAUUGGGAAAACUUCUUAACCAGAUUUUUCGUCUUUGGUAUAAACUCUGGUACUUGCUUGUUUUACAAAUAGUGGUUUACAAGAGAAAGUUCUUGAGCUAGCUAGCCGCGUCAGGCUGUAAUACUCUCUGAGUUUCACGCUUUUUAGAUGUCUGAUAAACAUCAAUGACCAUGACUGCUCUACUUGCCUCCAAAAUCAGGGUAGACUCUAACUGCGCCCACUGUUCAAAAAAUCCGCUGAUCGCUACUCGGGAGGGCACCGCUUAUUAACGCAUAUCGUCAGCGUUAAUCACCAGGCCCGAUUAUUCUGUCUGACAGCCGAUAAAUCUCCCGCAAAAAAGACAGCCGAUAAAUCGGCUGAUAAACGAUUAAUAGAAAAGAAUCACGACGUACUUGGGUCCAGGUUGGAUGUCGUCUGUUCUUGAGACGAAGGGGCAGGCAUGUUCGUUCAGAAAAAUCUGGCAUGUGGGUCCAGGUUGGAAAAAUGCUUUUAAAAAAACAGGAAAUGCUACUUUGUCAAUGUUCCAAUGAAAAGUGUGCUAUUUUGUCUAACACCAGUAAAUGUGUGCUUUUGGGACAAAGUCCCAAAGAAAGGUGCGGCAUUUUGUCGAAUUUCUCUUUCUCCUCGCCUCCCGCACUUUCUCCCCCCACAUCCCGCCUUGAUUAGGUCUGCGUUAGCGCCGCCCUCCGGAGACCAGAGCUCCCCCUCCCCCUCCUCCUCCUCUGGUAUUCCUCCUCCGCCACUGCCUACCAUGUUCUCUUAAACUUCUCUCCUCCCCAGCUCCUCUACCAUUGGUCUCCUCCUCACCCACGGCUUCCCCUCUCCUCCUCUGGCUCUCUGCCGACCACCGCCUCUAGCUCUCUCCCCACCUGGCUGCUCCAGGGAUCUUCUCUCCUGCAUGUUUACUUGUUGAAUUAUUCAAUAUACGGAGUAGCAUAUUUUAGUGCUGGGAAACUUGGGAUUUUUUUUAAAAAACUGACCAAUUAUUGGUCGACCAAUUGAAUCAAUUAAUCGGACGAAUUCUGAUUGAUCCCUAGCCCUAAGCCGACCGAGCAUUUAUCGAUUAGCGAUAUCCCAAUCAUUAACUGAACCAUGACUAGACAUAAAUGAUAGGCAUUUAUCAAGGGUAAAAAAUCCUAUGCGACCCUCCGUGGAACGACCCAGCGAUGGACAUGUUUUGGAAACGCACGAUCUCCUAUGCAUCUAACUUGAUCUCUCUCCGCUGGGUUAGAUUGAACGGGUUAGAUAUGGGUCCAUGCACUGGGUCGUUGUUCCAUGGGUCGCAUAGGAUUUCUUUCCUUUAUCAAGCCGUGGACGAAAUAGGAGUAAUUUAUUAAUUUUAAAUCAUAUAUAAAGCGGUAUCAUAUUUACAGGGACAAUCAUUCUUACUAUUAAUAAAUCUGUACAUGCCAUAUAUCUCUGUAUUGACUGCUCUUGGAUACCUACUCUUCUGACCAGGUGAUAUCCUCCAUGCCAACAUUCUGGUCGAGCCCCAAGGCGUUCCACACUGCAGGCGAGGCGUC